rnacentral:lncRNA from 1 species
ACUUGUUCUGGGUGGUGUGGAGGUCUGCAAUUGAAUUUUGUUCUUUUAUUUUGUCAUUUUCAGAAAUCCAGAGAUUUCCUGGAGCUCAACCUCACUCCCAGGUUGAUGUCAGAGUGCCAGGGCAAGGACCCCAAGGUCUCCAGUGCUCAGUGUGGAUCCCUCAAUGAUGGUUGCAUCAAUGGAGCGCUCCCUCACUCUAAUGAACCUGCACAGCUGGACAAGAAUUAUCAAGGGAAAAAACUACACACACGCCCAGGAUCAAUAAUCAUCUCUGGUCAAGCUUUUGUGUGUGUUCAUUUACCUGUCAUGAGCACAGAAAUACUGCUUUGAUGCUCCUAUUAGGACUCCAUUCUCUUUCCCUUUAUAUCUACUUUAAGCACAGCUUAUAUAUGUGAUUUCAAGUUUGAUGCUGAUGAAAGCUAGCUUUUCAAGUCUACUUGAUUUGUUUAAAUCACAUAUGAAAACAACAAUUCAAUUGGCAUAUUUCAAAGAAAAAAUUUAACUUUUCAACAUUUCAAGUAGACUUGGUUCAAUGAGCAUUUAUUAAAUACCUGUUGCACGCAGAUCUCUAAUGAGAAAAUAGUGAAAAAUAAUUUAUAGCAAAAUUCAAGCUAUAGCCUCAAGCAAAAAUAAAAUAAAUAAGGCCUUUUCUUGCUUGUCUUUUAGAAAAAGGACUCUUCUAUGCUUGGGCACUAGAGGUGCCAAAGGCAUAAAUGUUUGAUAACUUGAAAUAAAUCUGUCAGGAAAGAAAUUCAGCUGCAACUCUAGAGUAAAAGAGGAGAUAAAAAGGAUAUAAACCAGUCUCAGUUCUCGCUCUGGAAAAGCCUCAGAAUUUGGAAGAACUCAGGAGGCCCAGCUAAAUGAUUUUGCC